rnacentral:lncRNA from 1 species
GCCAUCGCGCCCUGCCACCGCAACCGCCCUGCCCCGCCUGCAGCGGAAUCCAUUCCUCCUCCGUCCGUCGCCCCACACCCCCCAACCCACGGCUCCACUUUCCUCAACGCCACCGCCUCCGUCCAACACUCCAACCGCCACGCGACGCCUCUGCCUUCUCCCUCUCCUUCGUGGUCCUUCCCAUCCCCGCCGAUUCCCCGCCUCCUCACCGCCGUCGCCGCUCCCACUCCCCAUACCCCCACCCCAGUUUCCUCGACGCCACCGCAGCGCAUAGCCGACGGGGCCGUUCUGUCCCUGCUCCCCAGGGACGACUGUGGCGCCGCCGCCGACCGCAAGGCGCCGGAUGUCGAGGACGCAGCCUCAAGGGUGCAAGCCUACCAGCUGCACUUAGACACUGCCCUGGAUUGCUGCAAGGCGCUUGAGGGAUCUCUCCUUGAUGCAGCAUUUGGUGAGGGAUUCAGAAGCAACAUUCAAGCAACUGAAGCAGCAGGUGAUGACAUUCUCUAUGAAGACAUUCUUACUUCUGUUGUUGGCGCGUGCAGGUCUGGCAACGUGGUGAGGGUCAAGUGGAGGUGA